CAACUAUUUCUGUCUUACAAUCUCUCUCCACCAGGUGUAGCACUUCUCUCAUCGUUUAAAAACAAGAAAUGGACAGUGACGGUGGUAAAGGGGGGAUACCUAGUCAUUUUUUCCGUCUUCAUUGCGUGCCAUCAUCAUUCUCAAAGCCGCAGUUUACUUCUAAGAUCACUUUAGCACCGCCCUAAAAACCCGAUUCAAACUCGACACAAACUUUCAAAUAGGUAUGUAAUGACACAUUAUAUAAACUCUUUAUAGUGUUUUAUUUAAAAUUUUUAGAGGCGAUAAGUUCCCACACGACAUCUGUCCUUCUCACUAUCACGCAUUAGUUUCGCUUCCCCACCCGCCAUAAAAAAAAAAAAGAAGACCCGAAGGGGCUCAUUGAUUGAAUUAUGCAGAAACGGGCAGUGUUUAGGUCCUGUAAUUGAUUUUGUUGGAAAGGAGAGAAAUCGUGCAUUGCAAUGGUAUUGACAUUACAGUCUAUCUGGAAGUAUUACGUUUUUGGGGAACUAAAAUAAGGGCAAUUGUAGGGACCAAGGCGAAGUACGAGUUUACGUUAGUCAGUUAACGUUAUUUCUGGUUUUGUAGGUAAAGCAAGGCAGGCUAGCUAACGUUAGCUAGCUAGCUGUUAGCCUACAACUCGGAUUUGCAAGUUUGUUCGUAUGUCAUAAAAGUGUAUUGUCUUGGGCAAAACUAAAUAAUGGAUGCAGCUAUGGUGGUAGCUAACUCACGUCUGAGUCUGACUAAUACAGUGAAGUAGGAGCAACAAACCAUAACGGCGUCUAGAGAUGCAGUUGGUCUACAUCUGUAAAGCAUAGAAUUAGCUUGACCCGCGUUACUACCCUGAUGACACAGACGUCUUCAUCAACAACAGUAAUGUGUGUUAUGUAAAAAGUUGUAUAAAAAAUACCUGGUUUCAUAAACUAGUAGGUUAAUUACCCAGCCAAGCAGAUUCAAGUAGUAGAGUCAUUUUGGUUGAGAAGUGCAUUAUCAAAACGCCUCGUCCAUUCUUUAUAACAAAAUGCAAUUUACCACUUGGCUGUCUAUUGUAUCAUCCUGUCACAAGCUCUUUCAGUCAACAACACCUAAUGAGGAAUUACAUUGUUUAUGAGGAUUGCCUGCUGCAGUUGUUCGAGAGAUGUCUUGUUUGUAGCUGAACAUUCAACAUAGAGAAGACCAGCAAGGGGACCCUCAGCAUCACACAGACAUGCCCUCGCUGUGAGCAUUCCUAUAAAUGGAACAGGGAGGACACUUGAAUCAGAACCAUGACUGUAUGUGUUCACAAUACGUUUAUGGAGCCUGCACCUGGAGACUUGCAAGAUGAUGUGAUGGAAUCCUGACCGACAGACAGGCUUGAUACUGACUUCGCUGAAUGGAGAGACACCUGGCACUCAACACAUCCACAAUGUGGUUCUGAAGAUGAAGAGUACUAAAGAUGCUUUUGCCAGACGCCAGCCUCGGUCGUUUGAUAGAGGGACCAUAAUUGGAAACAUGUAUAGAGACAGCACAUGGAAACUUGCAAGAUGUGAUGAAGUCCAGACUGACAGACGGGCUUAAUACUGAUGCCUCCAAAUGGAGAGAGACCUGACACGGCAUUAAAGUUUUACUACACACAACUUGUACUUCUAUUGUUUUUAAAAAUGAUUUAAUAGAAUGGUAUCAGUCAAUAUGGGGAGGGAGAAACCUUGUGUAUUCUGCACCAGGAUCAGGGAACUCCGGUUGUAUACUGAACACCACACAGGAAGAUAUGACAACUCUGACAUGUUUGCCAAGGUAACCCAUUCACCACCAGACAAAAUGCCAAUAGGCACAGUAUCUGUAUCGGCUGGGAAUGACAAUGGAAGCUGAAAGCUGCACAUUGUUAUAUUAGCAGAACUAUGGUAUUAGGGAAUGGGUUGUUUAUUCUACAUGGAUCUGUUACUACAUUUGAAAGUUAUCAAAACUCUUAGCUUAGAAUAUCUACAUAAUUCAGCAAUUGCAUUCUCAUAUUACUCCGUAGGCUACUGACCUAUUCAAAGCUUCCUCUGGCAUCUCACCAUACAUCUGCCUGGAGUUAUUGAACUCAACCUGCAAGAGGGUUGUUUGAUGGAUGCUACCAUGACUACAGAUAAUCCUGAAUAAAUUGUGAAUAACGAUGAGUGAGAAAGUAACAGACGCACAAGUAUCAUACUUCCAAGACAUGCUGACAUCUCACCAUUACAAUAACAGCGGAGGUUAGCAUUUUUGGGGGGUAUGACAUUUGUGCGUCUGUAACGUUCCCAGCUGGCAAUGAGGAAUCGGCCCAGGAGCGGUCCUCUUCCGGGGAACCGGAACUGAUUGGAUUGGCUCGGAACAGCGUGAUGGGACAAGGACAUCCCAAACCCCCAUAACUCGGACGACGCUGGGCCAAUUGUGCAUCGCCUCAUGGGUCUCCCGGUCGCGGCCGGCAUGGGUAUCGAACUAGCAUCUGUAGCAACGCAAUUUGCAAUGCAGUGCUGUGUCUUAGACCGCUGCGCCACUCAUAUUAAAAUUCUACUUAAACAGGACUCUUAACACAAAAUGUUAAUUGUAUUUUUUGAUCACAGAAACAAUAGUUAAAUAAAAAACAGAAAAUAUGGAAUAAAUAAAUGUUAAAUAAAGCAGCCGUGUAAUGAUCUGCAUUUGGAUAACUCACACCGGAAUCAGUCCGAGCUCAAUCCCCGCAUAAGUAAUACCAGCCAUAAGUAAUACUGCCUAAGGUGGCCCAGAUCCACUGUGCUAGCUGGGUUCUCACUCAUCAUUAUUCAUAGUACAUUCAGGAUUUUCCAUAAUCAUGGUAACAUCCACAUUAAUGUGUAAGUGUUUAGAAGCAUAUUCUGUUCUUAUUUACAAUAAAAGUGACCCCAAAAUGACUACAUUAUUUAGUGUUCAUUUCUGUUGGGCACAAGAUAAUCUGAAACACAACCAAAACAAACAGUAAAUGCAUCCAACAAAUUUGCAGAGGCACAAGCUUGAUGUAGUCAUUGCAUGCUAUGAAUAUGGGACCAAAUACUGAACUUUUUACUACUUUAAUGCACAUAAGUGAAUUUGUCCAAAUACUUUUGGACCCCUAAAAUGGGGGGGGGGGGACUAUGUACAAAAAGGGUUGUAAUUUCUAAACGGUUCACCCGAUAUGGAUGAAAAUACCCUCAAAUUAAAUCUGACAGUCUGGACUUUAACCUCAUAGUCAUUGUUUGAUUUUAAAUUUAGAGCCAAAAUGAAGAAAAAAUGCUUCACUGUCCAAUUAAUUACAGAGGGCACUGUAUAUUGAGGCAAAAAAAUGGACAGUAGCCAAAUAGUUAAAUGAAACUCAAUUGAAUGAACAUGAAAUAUCAUUGAAAGACAGUAUAUAGGCCUAUGUAGCCUACACUGUAGGUAGGCUUUUUUAUCCUUAGCUUGUUUGUAACAAUGGCAAAGACUUUGGCAUCUUUGUAUUUGUAGUCCACUUCAUUGUGAAGUUGAAUUUGG
ensembl:lncRNA